rnacentral:rRNA from 1 species
UGAGUAACACGUGGGUGAUCUGCCCUGCACUUUGGGAUAAGCCUGGGAAACUGGGUCUAAUACCGGAUAGGACCGCAUGCUUCAUGGUGUGUGGUGGAAAGCUUUUGCGGUGUGGGAUGGGCCCGCGGCCUAUCAGCUUGUUGGUGGGGUAAUGGCCUACCAAGGCGACGACGGGUAGCCGGCCUGAGAGGGUGUCCGGCCACACUGGGACUGAGAUACGGCCCAGACUCCUACGGGAGGCAGCAGUGGGGAAUAUUGCACAAUGGGCGCAAGCCUGAUGCAGCGACGCCGCGUGAGGGAUGACGGCCUUCGGGUUGUAAACCUCUUUCAACUACGACGAAGCGCAAGUGACGGUAGUAGUAGAAGAAGCACCGGCCAACUACGUGCCAGCAGCCGCGGUAAUACGUAGGGUGCGAGCGUUGUCCGGAAUUACUGGGCGUAAAGAGCUCGUAGGUGGUUUGUCG